rnacentral:rRNA from 1 species
GACGAACGCUGGCGGCGUGCCUAAUACAUGCAAGUAGGACGCACAGUUUAUACCGUAGCUUGCUACACCAUAGACUGUGAGUUGCGAACGGGUGAGUAACGCGUAGGUAACCUGCCUAUUAGAGGGGGAUAACUAUUGGAAACGAUAGCUAAUACCGCAUAACAGUAUGUAACACAUGUUAGAUGCUUGAAAGAUGCAAUUGCAUCGCUAGUAGAUGGACCUGCGUUGUAUUAGCUAGUAGGUAGGGUAAAGGCCUACCUAGGCAACGAUACAUAGCCGACCUGAGAGGGUGAUCGGCCACACUGGGACUGAGACACGGCCCAGACUCCUACGGGAGGCAGCAGUAGGGAAUCUUCGGCAAUGGGGGGAACCCUGACCGAGCAACGCCGCGUGAGUGAAGAAGGUUUUCGGAUCGUAAAGCUCUGUUGUUAAGGAAGAACGAGUGUGAGAAUGGAAAGUUCAUGCUGUGACGUACUAACCAAAAGGCG